UAAUCGAGGCUAAGCUGCAAAUAAACAUUAGACGCCGUGGUUGAAAUCCCUCCCUGAGGAACCGCCACGUAAAAUAAAGCUGAGAGAUCAAAUUCAUUCUGUCCCUAUCUACUAUCUAGCGAAACCACAGCCAAGGGAACGGGCUUGGAAUAAUUAGCGGGGAAAGAAGACCCUUUUGAGCUUGACUCUAAUCUGGCAGUGUAAGGAGACAUAAGAGGUGUAGCAUAAGUGGGAGAUAUUAGAUUUCGAUUUGGUAUCGACAAUGAAAUACCACUACUCUUAUUGUUUCCUUACUUACUUGAUUAAAUGGAACGUGUAUCAUUUCCUAGCCAUUAUACGGAUAUAUUUAUUAUAUCUUAUGGUAUUGGGUUUUGAUGCAAGCUUCUUGAUCAAAGUAUCACGAGUUUGUUAUAUAAUCGCAAACAAAUUCUUUAAUGAGAAAAUGCAUUUAUGUAUUUUCAAUUUGAAA
rnacentral:ncRNA from 1 species